CAGUCGCCGCGGGAAUACAGAGGAUGCAAGCGUUAUCCGGAAUGAUUGGGCGUAAAGCGUCUGUAGGUGGCUUUUCAAGUCCGCCGUCAAAUCCCAGGGCUCAACCCUGGACAGGCGGUGGAAACUACCAAGCUGGAGUACGGUAGGGGCAGGGGGAACUUCCGGUGGAGCGGUGAAGUGCGUUGAGAUCGGAAAGAACACCAACGGCGAAAGCACUCUGCUGGGCCGUCACUGACACUGAGAGACGAAAGCUAGGGGAGCAAAUGGGAUUAGAUACCCCGGUAGUCCCUGUCUCUUAUAC
rnacentral:rRNA from 1 species